ACGGCGCCCAGCUCGCCGGGCUCUGCUGCGACUCUGGGGUGGCAGUGUCGGGGGUGCUCGUGGGACAAGUGUGGCGGGUCUCGUUCGGGGCCGGGUGGCGGCGGAAUGAUGGAGGAGGAGGAGCUGGAGUUUGUGGAGGAGCUGGAAGCCGUGCUGCAGCUGACGCCCGAGGUGCAGCUGGCCAUCGAGCAGGUAUUUCCAAGCCAGGAUCCACUAGAUCGAGCAGAUUUCAAUGCUGUGGAGUAUAUCAAUACCCUCUUCCCAACGGAGCAAUCUCUGGCAAACAUAGAUGAAGUCGUGAACAAAAUUAGACUAAAAAUAAGGAGACUUGAUGAUAAUAUUCGAACUGUUGUAAGGGGUCAAACAAACGUGGGACAGGAUGGCAGGCAAGCACUUGAAGAAGCCCAGAAAGCUAUUCAGCAGCUCUUUGGCAAAAUCAAAGAUAUCAAAGACAAAGCAGAAAAGUCAGAGCAAAUGGUCAAAGAAAUCACCCGUGAUAUCAAGCAGUUAGAUCAUGCCAAACGCCAUCUGACCACCUCCAUCACAACUCUGAACCAUCUGCAUAUGUUGGCUGGCGGUGUUGAUUCCCUCGAAGCCAUGACCAGGAGAAGGCAGUAUGGAGAAGUUGCUAAUCUUCUUGAGGGUGUAAUGAAUGUUCUGGAGCACUUCAAUAAGUAUAUGGGGAUUCCACAGAUUCGGCAGCUUUCUGAAAGAGUGAAGGUUGCCCAGGCUGAGUUAGGACAACAGAUCUUGGCUGAUUUUGAAGAAGCAUUUCCUUCCCAGGGGACCAAGAGGCCAGGAGGACCGAGCAAUGUCCUGCGAGAUGCAUGUCUGAUUGCAAAUAUUCUGGACCCCCGGAUCAAACAGGAGAUCAUCAAGAAGUUCAUAAAACAGCAUCUGUCAGAGUACUUAGUACUUUUUCAAGAAAAUCAAGAUGUUGCUUGGCUGGAUAAAAUAGACAGACGGUAUGCUUGGAUUAAACGCCAGCUUGUGGACUAUGAAGAAAAAUAUGGCCGAAUGUUUCCAUGUGAGUGGUACAUGACCGAGAGGAUUGCAGUAGAAUUUUGCCAUGUUACAAGGACAGAGCUUGCCAAGAUUAUGCGUGCCCGGGCUAAGGAAAUAGAAGUGAAAUUGCUUCUUUUUGCGAUUCAGAGAACAACAAACUUUGAGGGAUUUCUUGCAAAAAGCUUCUCAGGCUGCACCCUGACUGAUGGAACACUGAAGAAGCUCGAUUCUCCAGCCCAAGCCACCAACCCCUUCCUGGAAGAUGAGUCAACCCCAGAGAUGGAGGAACUAGUGAUGGAAAAAGGAGACUUAGACCAACCAAAGAAGCCAAAGGCACCAGACAAUCCAUUUCAUGGCAUUGUUUCUAAGUGCUUUGAGCCUCAUCUCUAUGUGUAUAUUGAAUCCCAGGACAAAAACCUUGGGGAACUGAUCGAUCGGUUUGUGACUGAUUUUAAAACCCAGGGCCCACCAAAGCCCAACACUGAUGAAGGGGGUGCGGUGCUCCCCAGCUGUGCCGACCUCUUCGUCUACUAUAAGAAGUGCAUGGUGCAGUGCUCUCAGCUCAGCACGGGGGAGCCCAUGAUCGCCCUGGCCACCAUUUUCCAGAAGUACCUCCGAGAAUACGCUUUGAAAAUUCUCUCUGGCAACUUGCCCAAAACCACAAGCAGCAGUGGUGGGCUGACCAUCAGCAGCCUCCUCAAAGAAAAGGAGGGCUCAGAGGUGGCCAAGUUUACGCUGGAAGAGCUCUGCCUCAUCUGCAGCAUACUGAGCACAGCAGAAUAUUGUCUGGCCACCACCCAGCAGCUCGAAGAGAAACUCAAAGAAAAAGUGGACAUUAGUCUAGUUGAACGAAUUAAUCUGACGGGAGAAAUGGACACAUUCAGCACCGUCAUCUCCAAUAGCAUUCAGUUGUUGGUUCAGGAUCUGGACGCAGCCUGUGACCCUGCCCUGACAGCUAUGAGCAAGAUGCAGUGGCAGAAUGUGGAGCACGUGGGUGACCAGAGCCCUUAUGUGACCUCUGUUAUUCUUCACAUCAAGCAGAAUGUUCCCAUCAUCCGUGACAACCUAGCUUCCACACGGAAGUACUUCACUCAGUUCUGCAUUAAGUUUGCAAAUUCCUUCAUUCCUAAAUUCAUCACGCAUCUCUUCAAGUGCAAGCCGAUUAGCAUGGUGGGAGCAGAACAGCUGCUACUGGACACACAUUCCCUGAAGGUGGUCCUACUCGAUCUCCCGUCUAUUGGCUCACAGGUGGUGAGGAAAGCUCCUGCCAGCUACACGAAAAUCAUGGUGAAAGGCAUGACCCGGGCGGAAAUGAUCCUCAAGGUAGUGAUGGCCCCUCAUGAGCCCUUAGAGUUAUUUGUGGACAACUAUAUCAAGCUGCUUAUGGACUACAACACGGAGACCUUCCAGAAGAUACUGGACAUGAAGGGCCUGAAGCGGAAUGAACAGAGCAGCAUGCUGGAGCUCUUCCGCCAGCGCCUCCCCAGCCCGCCCUCUGGGCCUGAAAGUUCCGGCUCACUGUCCCUGCUGGCUCCCACGCCAGAGCAGGAAUCGUCCCGCAUCCGCAAACUUGAGAAGCUGAUUAAAAAGCGACUGUAGGGAAAAAAUUUUUUAAAAAAAGCAACUGUAGGAGCAUACAGGGAUCCUUCCUCCUGCUCCCUGGAAGCCCUCCCACUCCCAUUCUGUGUGUUCCCCCAGAUCUCAGACAGCCAAUAAAGAAAUGUUGCUUGCUGCUGUGUCUCUCCCAGACCCUAUCUCAAUCCCAGUCUCAAACUGAGAAACCAAGUGAGGCAAUGGAAAGGCCAUGUGGCUGCUGUGGGCCCCAGGGGAAUCCUAGCUCACGCUGUUCUGGGGCUGCAGCCUCACCCACUGGCACGUGACCCUGUUUCCUACUAGGUGCCUGUGCAACCCGGCUACACCCUUUCCUGCUUUUGCCACCCCCAGGUCCUGCUGUCUUAGAAACAGUGAGUUCAGGUGCAGGAAGUGAGCCCAGAGUGGCAGGACACCUGCACACAGUCCCCCGUGGCCCUACUUCUGGACACACAUUUUGUUUCUGGUUCUUCUCACAAGUUGGUGGCAAGUUCUCCUUAUGUUCUCCCUGUGUCUCAGAAAUCUAAAGCUGUCCUCUGUGACUGACCAGGGGACUACCUGUGUGGUGCCUGCUGCAGGGCCUCCCAGCUGAGGGGGAAAGGAACUCUG